rnacentral:rRNA from 1 species
UACGUAGGGUGCGAGCGUUAAUCGGAAUUACUGGGCGUAAAGCGUGCGCAGGCGGUUACCUAAGCCAGGCGUGAAAUCCCCGGGCUCAACCUGGGAAUUGCGCUUGGGACUGGGUGGCUAGAGUGCGGCAGAGGGAGGUGGAAUUCCACGUGUAGCAGUGAAAUGCGUAGAUAUGUGGAGGAACACCGAUGGCGAAGGCAGCCUCCUGGGCCAGCACUGACGCUCAUGCACGAAAGCGUGGGGAGCAAACAGGAUUAGAUACCCUGGUAGUCCACGCCCUAAACGAUGUCGACUAGUUGUUGGGGAAGGUAACUUCCUUAGUAACGUAGCUAACGCGUGAAGUCGACCGCCUGGGGAGUACGGCCGCAAGGUUAAA